rnacentral:misc_RNA from 1 species
AAUGUGCUCAUGGUUUGCUUUAGAAGUGGAGGAAAGGUAUAUCGCGGAGCGUUGAUCGAUACUCAAAUUGGUGUUGUGGUCAUGCUGCCCUUGUGCAGUGAAAACAAGGCUUGUUCAUUCAUUCGUGUAUCCGAUGACAUCCUGCCAUCUCCUCACCUCGUUCAGUGCUGCAUCAUGAGCCUUCUGCAGGUCCUCUUCACUGCAUCCAUCUCCUCCACAUAUGAGCAGGUGGGCCGUUAUCUGAACCUCACCACAGUCACGCCUGUUGUACUCUGAGAAACCCCAUUUAAGAAUUGAGGCCCUACAGUAUCCUUCACUAGUGCGAAGGUGGUUGAGGGAUUUCCAGAUGAUAGAUGGUUGGUGGUGUCCUAUUGCCAUUUGCUUCAUUGAUCUUCUGGCUGGAGGAGAUGGCUCAAGUUCCAUAAAACUAUGUCUGCAUUUAAGCUGCUUUUGUACUCAACUGAUGGUUGUGUAAUGAAUGUCAACUUCAGCUUUGUAGCGUUUCAACGGUAGUUACUCUUUCAUGUCUUUGGGAUGGGUCACAGUGCCGGACAGAUUGUACAGAUAUUUAAUUCUGGUUGGUUUUGGGCAUCCUGUGAUUAUCUGCAAGUUGCAUUCAGUGCAGUAUUCACCUUCGGCGAAUGGUAUUAGUGGUUCCACACUGGACUGGCAUGUUCUGCCACUGAGAAGCAUAGUGCGAGUGUUACUGUUCAGAUUGUGGUUGGGUCAUUUCCAAAGUAGAUAUCUUUAAGCUUAACAAUGAUGUUGUUCCUAGUGUUGACCUUUGCUUUGGUUUUCUCAGCAUGCCUAUGGAAGCACAGUGUGUAGUCAAGAAGCACACCAAGAUACCUUGGUGCUUCACAGUGCUUUAGAAGGACUCCACUUCAUCGAACUUGUAGUCACUUGUUCGCAUCAUGGUUCCAAAGAUUGAAAACUGCUGUCUGCAUUUUGGCUGGGUUUGGGCACAGGGAGUUCUCUUUGUAUGUAUUAGCUUGUCCAGUUCUGUAGGGCAGAUUCAAGAACAGUCUCAAUUUCACCCAAUUUUGUUAAUAGUGUAGCAAUUCAUAAGUCAUCUGCAAUACUGCAUACACAAAUGACCUGGUUCUAGGUGUGAUUGGCUGGUCAUUGGUGUAGAUGUUGAACAAUGUGGGAACGAGGACACUGCCUUGAGGUAAACCGUUCUGGGUCCUCCAUAUACUGUUCUAGCCAUGCAGGCUGACAAAGAAGUGGCAAUUCUUCAUCACUGUCAAAACAAGGCUGAUCACAGAUAAUGAUGAAUUGUUUCAUGCAAACUUGUACUGAAACAAUUUUUGUGUUAAAGACACAAGUAAGGAAACAUAUACAUGUAAAUAGUCCAUAUGUACAGUACCAACUCUUCCAAAGCAAAUUUGGCUGCUAGCUUAAAUUUUCAACUGAUGUGUCUGUGGGGACAGAAUUGGGGAGUGAAUACUGAAGAGAAAGAGGUCAGAUCAGAAAAUUCAACAAGAGGCUGGGUACCAGCAUACUGAGCUCUUCAGACCUACCAGUACAGGGCAUGUACAUGUAUGCAUCUUAUUUCUUUCUUUUAAAACUUUAAAAACUCAAUGAAGUGAAGGUGUAAAUCAUAACCUACAGGUGGUCAUCAUCUAUGCUGUUAAUUACAUGUACCUUAGAAAUAACUGAGAUUUAGUUUCUAUACAAUGCAGAAUGUAAAAAGGUUAAGUUUGUGAUGCGCUUGGAAGCACAACACUGACUGUGCAUCGUUGGCAGAAACUGGGUGUCAUUUGUGUGUUUUUCUUUCUUUACAAUAUGUUAGAUUAGUUUAACAGGUUGAAAGCAGUCCGGCCAAGUGAUUUUGUUAAGUUAUUCAAGACUCCAGUCAAAUUAGUGACUUGAAUCAUAAUGAUGAUGAGAUUUUGUUAUUUUUGUAGUAGUUUGUUCUAAGAUCAGUGUCUGUAUUAUUAAAGUCUUUUCAUAACCUGUAGUCAAGGUAAAGCUGUAGGAAUAAAAAGACUUGGAGCAAUACGACCCAGAAAGUCCUUACUGCAUGUGCAUUUAGGUCACUUGUGGGGUCUGGUUUUCUCAUCUCUUUUGAUUUAGUUUGGAACCAUUGUCAUAUCAGAGUCAUUGCAGCCUCAGCCAUGUCUGAUACUGUAUGUAGAGGUAGAUAGAUUGUACCGUAUUUGUGCUUGUAUCCAGGCUACACAGUGUUCCAUUAGUGAUCUAAUUUCAGUAGCCCCCUCAGCCCCAGUGUACUGUACAUAACCAAUCAGAAUCAGUUGUGAAAACAUAUACAUCUAGCAUGCCAUGGCCUAUGAUGUUCAACUGAGACUCGGUUACCAAGACUGAGAUGAUGAAAUCAUCUGUUUACAAACCCAACUGAGAGGGCACAUAAAGAUGAUCCAUGAUCAUCAGAGACACAUGCUGCACACUUUUUGAAUUAAUGUGAUAGACAGUGAUAUGUACAUGUAGCUAUGUGUUGUAAAAUAUAUUUUAAAUGAUCUCAAACGUGCACAUGGAUGUGUGUGGAUCUGUGGGUUGUCCUUCAAACAGGAAAACAAUAAUUGUUGGUUGCGAUAAGAGCCCCUAGUGUCUUUAAUCAAAUGCAUGUACCCACAUGUACAUGUACGUGGAGACAUGUAUGUAGAGUGUACUUAAAUGAGUGCCAGGCAUUGCUGAAAAACCACAAAAUCCUUUACAUUUCUGUGAACAUGGCAUUGCUCUUGUAAGUUUUGUUUUGUGUGAGUGAGUGUGUGCACAUGGCUCAUUCAAACACCGAGAUCUUGACCAUUGGCGCAGUUCACAGACAACCUACCAUGUGUACGGCUCAAAGAAAUCGGUCAUUAGUUGUCUUGUAUAUGUACAUGUAUACAGGCGCUGGGUAAAGGGGAACUUUUGUUCUUGCACAAGUUGCUGGACUUCAGUUUACCGACACAGCUGAUAUUACGGUACAUCCACUUAAACACUUAUUAUGGAGCGUCAAAAGUGGACAACUUCAUUUUCUCAUUUUCUGCUAUUAGAU